rnacentral:lncRNA from 1 species
GUGCGGGCGGGAGACGCCCCUGGGAGGAGGGCGGAGCGGCUGCGGGCCGGCGCACCUGGGCCGCGCCGCCCACCUGAGCCGGGAGCCUCGGCCGAGCCCGCCCCUGCCACCUUUCCCCGCCCAGGGCACCACCCUCCCCACCUUCCGUCUGAGCGCUCGCCCCGCCUCCCCGCCCUCAUCCCUUCGCAGCUCCGCCCUGCUCCAUCCAGCUCUCUGUUGGUCCCUGCAUCACUGCGUGCGACCAGACUGGAGGGACGCAUCGGUUAGAAAACCUGCAGUGCCAGGCAUCAUCCCUGGAAGUGUUUCGCCCGAUGUACAAAGUCAAAGAAUCCUAUCAACAGCUUUGGAUAGUAAAGGCGUAAAUACAGCAUAAGGACGGAGAGGUUGACUUCCUAACUAUUUGAUUUUGGGUUAAGAGAGUGGCAGUGGUCCCUGGGAGUCCACUUGAACUUGUUAGGUAGCCAAGACUGUCCUGGAACUCCUGAUUUUCCUGCCUUCAUCUUCCAAUGGCUAGGAUUACAGGAGUGCCCCAAUAAACCCAGCAACACCCCCCAAC